rnacentral:rRNA from 1 species
AACGGAGAGUUUGAUCCUGGCUCAGGACGAACGCUGGCGGCGUGCUUAACACAUGCAAGUCGAACGGUGACGACGGGGCUUGCCUUGUCUGAUCAGUGGCGAACGGGUGAGUAACACGUGAGUAACCUGCCCCAGACUCUGGGAUAACCCCGGGAAACCGGAGCUAAUACCGGAUAUGACCCUCGUACGCAUGUGCUGGGGGUGGAAAGUUUUUUCGGUCUGGGAUGGGCUCGCGGCCUAUCAGCUUGUUGGUGAGGUAGUGGCUCACCAAGGCGACGACGGGUAGCCGGCCUGAGAGGGCGACCGGCCACACUGGGACUGAGACACGGCCCAGACUCCUACGGGAGGCAGCAGUGGGGAAUAUUGCACAAUGGGCGGAAGCCUGAUGCAGCGACGCCGCGUGAGGGAUGACGGCCUUCGGGUUGUAAACCUCUUUCAGCAGGGAAGAAGCGUGAGUGACGGUACCUGCAGAAGAAGCACCGGCUAACUACGUGCCAGCAGCCGCGGUAAUACGUAGGGUGCGAGCGUUGUCCGGAAUUAUUGGGCGUAAAGAGCUUGUAGGCGGUUUGUCGCGUCUGCUGUGAAAAUCCGGGGCUCAACCCCGGACUUGCAGUGGGUACGGGCAGACUAGAGUGUGGUAGGGGAGACUGGAAUUCCUGGUGUAGCGGUGGAAUGCGCAGAUAUCAGGAGGAACACCGAUGGCGAAGGCAGGUCUCUGGGCCACUACUGACGCUGAGAAGCGAAAGCAUGGGGAGCGAACAGGAUUAGAUACCCUGGUAGUCCAUGCCGUAAACGUUGGGCGCUAGGUGUGGGACUCAUUCCACGAGUUCCGUGCCGCAGCUAACGCAUUAAGCGCCCCGCCUGGGGAGUACGGCCGCAAGGCUAAAACUCAAAGGAAUUGACGGGGGCCCGCACAAGCGGCGGAGCAUGCGGAUUAAUUCGAUGCAACGCGAAGAACCUUACCAAGGCUUGACAUACACCGGAAUCACUCAGAGAUGGGUGCGUCUUCGGACUGGUGUACAGGUGGUGCAUGGUUGUCGUCAGCUCGUGUCGUGAGAUGUUGGGUUAAGUCCCGCAACGAGCGCAACCCUCGUUCUAUGUUGCCAGCACGUGAUGGUGGGGACUCAUAGGAGACUGCCGGGGUCAACUCGGAGGAAGGUGGGGAUGACGUCAAAUCAUCAUGCCCCUUAUGUCUUGGGCUUCACGCAUGCUACAAUGGCCGGUACAAAGGGCUGCGAAACCGUGAGGUGGAGCGAAUCCCAAAAAACCGGUCUCAGUUCGGAUUGGGGUCUGCAACUCGACCCCAUGAAGUCGGAGUCGCUAGUAAUCGCAGAUCAGCAACGCUGCGGUGAAUACGUUCCCGGGCCUUGUACACACCGCCCGUCAAGUCACGAAAGUCGGUAACACCCGAAGCCGGUGGCCCAACCGUCCAUCCUUGUGGUGGUGGGGGGAGCCGUCGAAGGUGGGACUGGCGAUUGGGACUAAGUCGUAACAAGGUAGCCGUACCGGAAGGUGCGGCUGGAUCACCUCCUUUCUAAGGAGCAGCU